UUCCUUUCCGAUUAAUCCCUGUUUGUCGUCUUUCGACUUUUACUUUCGGUUUUGUAGUUAUUUUUAGUUCCCGCGCUUUGGUCAUGUGAUUAGUCAUGUGGUAGUUUUAUACCUGUUGUACGUCAUUCUUUCGCUAUAACUGACAGAGGUCAGACAUGUUUUAUAGAGAGAAGUGAAACGUUUGUCUUGAGUUUUCUAAACUCGGCUUGCAGUGUGAGGUGUAGCAUUUUAUCCUUUUGUAAAGUAGAUACAGUAACCGGAGCACAGACAGAGAGACGUGGUGUGUGUCAUGUAUUGUUACAGAAAGGGUUUGAUCCCAUCAGAUCAACCUGAAAGGUUUUGGUAUCUGUCCGUAAGAAGGAAUAGUAUUUAGAAGAGUGCUGGUAUUAACUGUUAUCAACUGGUAUUAAAUACAAUAAAGUAUAAAAGAUCGAACAAGUCUUCUUGGAUGUGUUUGGCCAUAGUAUAUAGUCGCAGAUCCCAAGAUUACAAAUGGAGCCCCCAGUGAUAAACCAGUGAGGAUACCAGUGAUACACUAUGGCAAUGGCAGUGACACACCAGAAAUACUUUGGGGAUACUCUGUGAGUUAAAACAUUAUUGUCAGUGCUCAGUAAAAAAGACUUUUAAUACAUUUAGUUUUAAAGAAAGUAUUUACAUACAACACAGUUCUUCAAGAAAUCUAUUGAACUCCAGUGAACUUCAACACAAGUGUUUUAUGGGUCUUCAACUUCUAGAUUGGUGCUAUUUAUAAAACAACAGUGACAGAGUGACGGUGAUUUUACAAGUUCAACUCUUGGUACAUAUACAAUGGUUGUAGACCUGCAGUGGUACCUUAUGUUUUUACACUUAAAUGUUUGACUUGUGUAUUUUAUUUAUUGAAACUUACCUUUAGAAGUCAUCUGCUGAGGACAGUAUUUCUUCGGCUGGAGGAGAAGACAUUUAGUGUGUGUGUGUUUCAAGUAAAGACAAUCGACAAGUGUUUGUGAAUAGUAUAGUGGUCACAGUUUACAGUAUUAAAAGCCAUAUAUACCAGGUUUGGUGAGUCAUUUUAUAUUGAACACUUUAGUUGUUCGAGCAGAAUUAUCCGCAUAAUUACAAGUUAUCUUGGUUUUAGAAGUUAUACGGUAAAGUUCUGCCAGAAUGAAUUCAGUGUCAUAAUAACCAGAAUGCUAUUGUAAAAGUGUGUGAGAAAUUUCACUGCACAAUUAAUUUUUGGUGUAGGGAUUUAAUCAGUUGCAUGAUUCAUUAAUUCUUCUUCCUAUUUCCUGAAAGUCUCUGAAUUUAACCUCAUAACUUAUAAAGACCGUUAUUUUUAAAACACUCAAAUCAUUUAUUAAAAUAACAUAUUGACCAGUAACAAAA